AGCCAUGUAGUGAGCACAAAGCAAACUAUUCUUUCGCUUUUUACUAAAGAAUACCGUUUGUAUUUUGCAAUUAGUGGCAUAUGUUAAUUUUUGGAGGGGUUCUCUUGCUAUCAGUAUU